rnacentral:rRNA from 1 species
CUAAGAAUCUUCCGCAAUGGGCGAAAGCCCGACGCAGCGACGCCGCGUGAGUGAGGAAGGUUUUCGGACCGUAAAGCUCUGUCGCGCGGGAAGGAAUGUAUCGUGGCUAAUAUCCAUGAUAUUUGACGGUACCGCUAAAGGAAGCACCGGCUAACUCCGUGCCAGCAGCCGCGGUAAUACGGGGGGUGCAAGCGUUGUUCGGAAUUAUUGGGCGUAAAGAGCGUGUAGGCGGCUGAAUAAGUCAGAUGUGAAAUCCCUGGGCUUAACCCAGGAAGUGCAUUUGAAACUAUUCAGCUUGAGUAGGGGAGAGGAAAGUGGAAUUCCUGGUGUAGAGGUGAAAAUCGUAGAUAUCAGGAGGAACACCGGUGGCGAAGGCGACUUUCUGGCCCUAUACUGACGCUGAGACGCGAGAGCGUGGGUAGCAAACA